CUUAAGCACUGUUCAUCUACAACAGUGUUAAAAAAGUCAUUAUAUAACAAGAAUAAUUCAGACGCAUACCAGAAACAUAAAGUGACUAUUUUCUGUUUGGUUCCUGGGGUGUGGAAGUAGUCUGUUAAAAGUAUUAAAUGGCAUGAAGUUGUAUCAGCACUGAUAGCUGCAAAUGAGCCUGGCACGGAGUUAAAAAGUCCUACACUGAAUGAAUAAUCAAAGUGCCAAUACUGUUCAAUUGAGGAGGGGUGAGACAUAAGAUUAGUCUUGCAAACCUAAAGGACACAUACUCAGUGAAGAACUGGUCCACUUGAGAACAAUCAGGAAGCAAGUGAUAAUCUCUCCACAUUUAAUUAUGAAAAGAAGCCCCAUGAACUCAUGGAAGCCACUGGUGUGAUACUUAUCUGAUGUAGAUCAUAAUAAGCACAACUCGGCAUCACUGUAUGUUUUUUUUACAUACGUAAAUAUAGCUAUUUGAUAUAUAUAUUUAUCUAUCUCUUUGCAUUGUUAACACACAACCAAG